AGAGUUUGAUCCUGGCUCAGGAUGAACGCUAGCGGCAGGCUUAAUACAUGCAAGUCGUGGGGCAGCGCAGUGUAGCAAUACAUGGGCGGCGACCGGCAAACGGGUGCGCAAUACGUACGCAACCUUCCUUCGAGCGGGGAAUAGCCCAGGGAAACUUGGAUUAAUACCCCAUAAUAUAAUGAAAAGGCAUCUUUUUAUUAUUAAAGCUCCGGCACUUGAAGAUGGGCGUACGGCUGAUUAGGUAGUUGGCGGGGUAACGGCCCACCAAGCCUGCGAUCAGUAGCUGAUGUGAGAGCAUGAUCAGCCACACGGGCACUGAGACACGGGCCCGACUCCUACGGGAGGCAGCAGUAAGGAAUAUUGGUCAAUGGACGAAAGUCUGAACCAGCCAUGCCGCGUGAAGGAUUAAGGCCCUCUGGGUUGUAAACUUCUUUUAUCUGGGACGAAAAAAGGGUAUUCUUACUCACUUGACGGUACCAGAGGAAUAAGCACCGGCUAACUCCGUGCCAGCAGCCGCGGUAAUACGGAGGGUGCAAGCGUUAUCCGGAUUCACUGGGUUUAAAGGGUGCGUAGGUGGGUAUGUAAGUCAGUGGUGAAAUCCCCGAGCUUAACUUGGGAACUGCCGUUGAUACUAUAUAUCUUGAAUGUCGUAGAGGUAAGCGGAAUAUGUCAUGUAGCGGUGAAAUGCUUAGAGAUGACAUAGAACACCAAUUGCGAAGGCAGCUUGCUAUGCGAUUAUUGACACUGAGGCACGAAAGCGUGGGUAGCAAACAGGAUUAGAUACCCUGGUAGUCCACGCCCUAAACUAUGGAUACUCGACAU
rnacentral:rRNA from 1 species